rnacentral:lncRNA from 1 species
ACAAAAUCCCACCGAAUCAAUAAAGUGGUAAGUUCCAUGUCUAAAUCACGGCGCCCAGUGCUCUUGAGUAAACCUUUCGGUAAUUUACAAAGGCUGUUGAAUUUUAUAGUAAGUGUUUUUCAAACCAAGCUGGAUUCUAAACAAUAAUGACUUUUUAAUGUGGCUCUGUGAUUACAUUGUCAUAGUGAAAUACGGGGGUCUUUGACUGCAUCCGAAAUGAGCCCGGUGUGAAUUACUCCGAGGCAUGGGCCAGAGCGGCCCCAGGUAAAGCAAUCUCAAUAAAUCACCCUCCAAUCCGGGUGGCCUGGCAGGCGAGGCCUGAUGCCAAUUUUUGCAACUCAAAUUUCAACGGACAAUUUGUAAACAAGUGCUUCCAUUUGUUCUAAAGCAGUGGUCAUGGUCAGGCGCCCUCACAGUGGUGGCGGCAGCCUUCCUAGUGUUGGCCCUCGACCUUGGAUAGGAGUGGGAUAGUGGCCGCUGGACCACAUAGUUGUUUAAACAGAAACAAGUGUAAGAUAACUGACUCAAGUGCCAGCCAAGUGUAGAGUGCUCAGUGUGUAACAUUGUAACAUUGAAGAGUAGUUUCUUGUCCCGGGAGGUCCUGCUGGGCAGUGCUGGGGCCAGGCCUGGGUUUCACUCUCCCUUGAAGGUUGUGAUGAUCCAGUCUGCUGGCAGAAAAGCUCCAACAUGCUGGGCAGGCAGGGCUUCCAGAAGCUGCGUGCUGGCUACACUCUAGGCUGCGACACUCCUGAUAAUCCCAAAGCUACUGGAUGAGAGUC